GUCGGUCGGUCGGUCGGUUGGUUGGUUGGUCGGUUGGACGCUUGCUUGUCGUUGUUCAUCGCCGCUCGCUGGUUGCUGCUUGCUGCUUGCUGUCCGGUCUCUGUGUGUGCUGAGACCUCGGAGUAGUCGGUGCGGCAAUGACGACAGCGCCGCCUUUGCCAAUGACUACGACUUCGACUAUGACUCUGGCUAUGGCUCUGGUGGCGAUAUUCUGUUCUUUCGUUUGGAAUACCCUGGGUAUCCGGUGGCAUAAAGUCUACCUAUGUGGAAGAUCAUUCAAUCAUUUUGUAUGGAUUGUAUGGCAUAUGAAAAUCGCAUCGAUCGGUUGGAAAGGGCAUGCCCAUUUCGGCGUGAUGACCAGCACUUGGAAUUCUCGUUCUUGGCCAGGUCCGGUGCCUGGUGAUGGCUGAUGUUGCUGCUGCCGCUGGUUGCAGUUGCAAGAGUCGCCAGCGACGUCCUCGCAGUUGUUGUUGCUGCCGCUUUCAUUCAGCUGCGACGCCGUCUUGCCUGUGGUACGGAGCCAGACCAGCCAAGCCAUCCAAGCCAAACCGAACCGUACCGAGCCAGGCCGGGCCAACCAACGCCAUCGCAUGCUUCACCUUCGCCCCACCGCACACAGAUACACACGCACACACCGGCACUUUGUGUGACGGCAGCCUUCCCAUUCAACUCACCAUUCCCCCUACCUGCUCCCCCUGCCCCAUCCCCUUGGGCCACUGCUGCUGGAGUUUCUUGUUUUCUUUCGACGUUUCGUCGUUGCUGCCCCCCAUCCACUUGGCCAAGCAACCAGCCCAGCCACCGUCAACCUUCUGCCCCAUCCCCAUCCACAUCCCCAUCCGCAUACCCAUUCCCACAGCCCACUGCUCUGGCUCUUUGCCUUGUCGUAAUUUUACUUGGAUUUUUUUGUUGUUCGUUCGUUCGUUUUCUUUUUCUUUUCCUUUCAGCGCGCUGCUUUCUGCGCUGCCUGCGACUCGGUUUCGAAAUAAACUUUAAUGGGAGCCAUUCGUUCGGUUUUGGGGUCUCAGUUUCUGCUGCUCUGUUAAAUUUUCUGGUUAAAUUUUGUGCGCAGUCAGCUCGCGAUGCAGUUCGAGGCGGUGACUCGAUUGGGGCUGUUCGCGGGGUUAAAAUUGCCCAACUUGCUGGAAUUGGAUGGUUCCGAGUUCUGGGGUUAAAUGCUGAGGGUUUCGAGAUGGUUCUUUAAAGCGAUUACAGUUGUUGAGGUCUUUAUAAUAGCAGUGUAAUCCUAGAGUCUUUAUAAUGUCUUUAGAUGGAUAGAAAUCAUGUUAUGUGUAAAGGUUUUAGGGUUACUAGGGAUUAGGAUACAAUAUUGUAUCUAUUUAAAAACAGGUAAUAGAUAAUAUGAUAUAUGUUAAGGCAAAGACUUUCCUACACGAACCACUGCGAUCCCCUUGACUCUAAAUUUUUAGGAGCACCUUGUCGUUCCAGGUCCUUUAGAAGAUUUUAAUCCUUUGGCCACCGGGAUCGACUCCUUUGCGUAGUCUCGCACUGAACAGCAAACAGUGCUGUUGCC